GAAAGCUUUCAAUCACACUUGAGGCCCCUCAAGCGAAAUAAAGCACUGUUCCAAAUGAGUGUGGAGCUCUCCACAGAGAGAGUAACCAAACCCACCCAUUUUUAUCAUUCUUUUAUCAUCAAGGAAAAAAACAACGUUUCAUUCAUAGUCCCUGUCUGGAAAGAUAGUAUUAAAGCAAGAUUCUAUCCCACAUGAAUCCAUCCUCAUGAAUGGGAUUUAAUUACAAACUCCAGGUCUUCUGGAAUAACAUAAACAAUAACUGAUAAUUAAAAACCCUGCCCUUGUCUAAUACCAAACAUAAUGAGGUCUAAUUACACAGCAUUUCCACAGUUUUAUGCUUGGGAAAAAUCUCCUACCUUUAACUAUAGACUGUCUGCAACUUCAAGGUUGAAAAGAUGAAACUAUUAUCGGGGGCCUAAUGUGUGUUUUCCCUCCUCUUGAGAGGGUGCUAUUAAUCAGCACCAGAUUACAGGCAUUCUGUCAAAGUGGUGAAAACAGUCGCCACCCUUCACAUUCUGGUGUCUAUGCUAGACCACCAGACAAGACCCCCUCACCAACUCCAGCACGAGGCUGCGCUGCUGUCCUCCUCAGCCUGAUCCCAGAGGUUACUGCGGAGCAAAGCAAGCGGACCUGGACCCACAGCCCUACAGUUCCAAGCCCUGCACCCUACCUGCUGCACGCAGCUGCUUUUUAUCCCCAUGCAGAGAAGCCAC
rnacentral:lncRNA from 1 species